UACGGAGGGUGCGAGCGUUGUCCGGAAUCACUGGGCGUAAAGGGCGCGUAGGCGGCCUGAUAAGUAGGGGGUGAAAUCCUGCGGCUUAACCGCAGGGCUGCCUUCUAAACUGUCAGGCUAGAGCACAGUAGAGGCAGGUGGAAUUCCCGGUGUAGCGGUGGAAUGCGUAGAGAUCGGGAAGAACAUCAGUGGCGAAGGCGGCCUGCUGGGCUGUUGCUGACGCUGAGG
rnacentral:rRNA from 1 species